CAUUUAGUAAAUGAGACAUCGACAAAUGUUGUCGAUGAUCUUCAGAGGUGUAGCUGAAGGAAGUUGAAGUGUUAAGCAUUAUGUUUAAAAAACAAAAACUUGCAACCUAGUCACUUAAACUCAUGUCUAGUUUUAUGCCAAAAACAAAACUUUGAUCUCAAUCGUGCAAACGUUCCAAAUGAGACAAACUGCCAGUCAAGUUACCUUAAUGCAGAAGGGAAACGCCUCAUCAUGGUAGCAUGCAGCUGUAGAGGCAGCCCCAUCUUUUCGGGAGUAUAAAUGUAGCAAGAUGCAAGCAGUCUCCAAGCAAUGCAGCAAACAUCCAACUCUGCUCGUGAUUUAUCGAGGAGCUUGGUGUAUGAUGAAGAAUACAUUGAGUUUGAUUCUUUUAAUGAUGACGACUAUGUCCUGCAUUUUUCAACAAAGCAUUGGCAUUGGCGUUGGCAUUACGGAUUUUUAUUAUCGAGGUUUGUGCGCGUUUGUUAGGGGAAGAUGUCGUGGUGACGGCUACAGGACAAAUGAAGAGCGUUUAAUAACACGUUGCCGUCAUGGGAUCCCAUGUUGCAUUCCGAAAUAGAGAAAAAAAAUACCGCGAGUUCCGCAAGUUCUGUCCGAAUUACAUUAUCCCUCCUGCAGAAGGUGCUUUGCAUGAUUGUUGAGUUCCCGCAGUUCCUGCCCCUGACUGACUGCUCUCACAUACACUGCACACAAGCAUAAAUAAAAUUUAUUGCUUUUGUGAC